UGGAGAGAUUCCUCGUGAGCUUGGUCAGCUUGGAAGUCUUGAAGUUCUAGACAUUUCCAGGAAUUUCAUUAAUGGUAUGAUCCCUUCUGAGCUUGGUCAUUGUGCUGAAUUGUCAGUUCUUGUUCUUUCAAGCCUUUUUGAAAUGUGGCCGAAUGACAAAAAUAAGAAUAGAAAGGUGUCAGUUAGUUUGCCAACUGUUGCUAAUCAUGAGUACAAUCAUUUUCAAGGGUCUAUUCCUACCGAGAUUACAGCCCUUCCAAAGCUAUGAGUACUUUAGGCACCAAGGGUAACCUUAGGAGGGAGGCUUCCAAGCAAUUGGGGUGGCUG
rnacentral:misc_RNA from 1 species